rnacentral:snRNA from 1 species
CUGCUUGUUUUGGGGGCACAUAUACUAUGAUUGAAAUGAUACAGAGAAGAGUAACAUGACCACUGAGCAAGGAUGACAUGCAAUUUUGUGAAGUAUUUCAUUCUUUU